GUUAAAGAUCUGUUAAGUCGUUGAGCCGUUAAAGAUCAAUUAGAUCGUUGAAGAUCUGUUAGACUAUUAGGUUGUUAUAACAGAAUGAUCAGCUGUGCAGAGAUUGUCGGACGGCCGCCCACGUAGCAAUGAACUAAAAUACAUCUGGAAGAUAGUUACUACCGAGCUAAAUGACAGCUGUCAGAUAACCGUUUGUACUUAUAGUGGCACGUCGAUAAUAGACUGAUGUGGAAUAGUCGAUAUCGGUUACUAUCUGAUCCGAAUGUUAUGCCUUUAAUGUUAAUAAUCACGUCAGAUGACAACUAAAGCCAAAUAUAGU
rnacentral:lncRNA from 1 species